rnacentral:rRNA from 1 species
GACGAACGCUGGCGGCGUGCUUAACACAUGCAAGUCGAACGGAAAGGCCCUGCUUUUGUGGGGUGCUCGAGUGGCGAACGGGUGAGUAACACGUGAGUAACCUGCCCUUGACUUUGGGAUACUUCAGGAAACUGGGGCUAAUACCGGAUAGGAGCUCCUGCUGCAUGGUGGGGGGUGGGAAGUUUCGGCGGUUGGGGAUGGACUCGCGGCUUAUCAGCUUGUUGGUGGGGUAGUGGCUUACCAAGGCUUUGACGGGUAGCCGGCCUGAGAGGGUGACCGGCCACAUUGGGACUGAGAUACGGCCCAGACUCCUACGGGAGGCAGCAGUGGGGAAUAUUGCACAAUGGGCGGAAGCCUGAUGCAGCAACGCCGCGUGCGGGAUGACGGCCUUCGGGUUGUAAACCGCUUUCGCCUGUGACGAAGCGUGAGUGACGGUAAUGGGUAAAGAAGCACCGGCUAACUACGUG